rfam:Plicaturopsis crispa FD-325 SS-3 unplaced genomic scaffold PLICRscaffold_26, whole genome shotgun sequence.
GGACUGGCAGCUCAGUUGGUUAGAGUGCUGGUAUAUAUAACCGGAGGUCCCGGGUUCAAUCCCUGGUCGGUUCA